rnacentral:rRNA from 1 species
GAUGAACGCUAGCGGCAGGCUUAACACAUGCAAGUCGAGGGGUAACAGGAGUAGCUUGCUACUUGCUGACGACCGGCGCACGGGUGCGUAACGCGUAUACAAUCUACCUUAUACUGGGGAAUAGCCUUUGGAAAACGAAGAUUAAUGCCCCAUAGUAUUACUGACUGGCAUCGGUUGGUAAUUAAAGCUUUGGUGGUAUAAGAUGAGUAUGCGUUCUAUUAGUUAGUUGGUAAGGUAACGGCUUACCAAGACAUCGAUAGAUAGGGGUCCUGAGAGGGAGGUCCCCCACACUGGUACUGAGACACGGACCUG